AACUUCAAGAGCGGUCGCCAUGGAUAAGCAGAAGACUUCUUUUGCGAUGUGAAAUGGAGGAAUUUGAAUGAAUGAAGUGAGGGAAUCUCAGACUGAACUAAAAACUUAUCGAAUAUAAGUUGUUGCCACGCACUGAGUUUAUUAGCAGUUUGCAUAAAAUACACAUUUCUUGCAUUUUUUCUUUUUUGUCCAGCAAAAACUUAGUUGUAUGUAGGAUUGCAUGCAGAGUUCUGGACAUGCUUCCCGUCUUGGCUGAGAUUCUAAAGUUCCUUCUUCAUGCCUCACAAAAGAGACGCUUUUCAUUGAAGGAGGAUUACUGAACUUCCUCCAUCCCCUUCAUUGACAUUUCCUGAAAUUUUCAGAAAACACGCAGAGGCUAAAAAAGGAUUUGAAAAAACUGCAAGACUAUGUAAUACAAGUCCUGCAUGCCCGGCAUUGUCAAGCCUCUCAGCUCGAAGAAAGGAGGUGGAUCGGUGAACGUUGCCUCAGGAGCUCUGUUCGAUACCAUCACCUGAACAUGGAAAGAGGAUGGGACAACUGCAGACCUACCAAGACAUAGAUAUCCACCUAAACUUACAGGCUGAGUGAGGACAGCAUUAACCAGAGAAGCAGCUGGUUACUUUGGAGGAGGUGAAGAGGUCCAGAACACAGGUGACAGUGAUUCAAACGGGGAGUUACCCAGAUCAUCAAACAAGUAUUCAUGGCAGACACAGCUGGUUCAAACUUCAGCUGCCCGUCUGCUAACGUGGGACAAGACGACAUGAACACAUCACUUCGGGUUUGUAUCCCCUCCACUGGCUAAAUGUCUUAAUGGUCUGGCACCUCUUUACCUCAGUGAACUUUGAAGAUCUCUAGACCAAAGGCUGUUAGAUGUUCCCGUGAUUUGGAUUGUGACCAGGGAAGACAGAACAUUUUCAGAUGCAGGUACUAGGCUCUGGAACAGUCUUCCUCUUUCUGUGAGGUCCGCUGGAACAUUUUAAAUCUCUUUUAAAAACUCAUCUGUUUAAACUGAAUUUUAGUUCCGGAGAGCACGGCCAGUCCUGGUUUCUUCUUUGCCUUUUAUUGCUGUUUUUAUUGCUGAUGUUGUUAACCUUGUGUUUUAUUGCUUUUGGUUUUAUUUGCAUUUUAUCUGUU